rnacentral:rRNA from 1 species
CAGAUCCUACGGGAGGCAGCAGUGGGGAAUAUUGCGCAAUGGGCGAAAGCCUGACGCAGCGACGCCGCGUGAGGGAUGGAGGGCUUCGGAUCGUAAACCUCUGUCAGCAGGGAAGAACGGUCACUGUGCUAAUCAGCAGUGAAUUGACGGUACCUGCAAAGGAAGCACCGGCUAAUUCCGUGCCAGCAGCCGCGGUAAUACGGAGGGUGCGAGCGUUAAUCGGAAUUACUGGGCGUAAAGCGCUCGUAGGCGGUAUGUCAAGUCAAGGGGGAAAUCCCCGCGCUCAACGUGGGAACUGCCUUUGA